ACAUAAGGCAGAAAUAGCGGCUUGGCACCUCCAAGAUAGGAGAUCACUUUGACCUGCCGAUUAUCCAUAUUACAGCACAUUAAUGCGACAGCCCCCACAAUGAAGAACAGCAAGUUGCACUCUGGAUGAAUCGCAACGAAAUCAAAAUCCGCAUCAAGCCAUAAAUCUGUCCAUCCACAUAUGUCUGAGGUUUUAAUGCUAUGCUUCAACUUCCAUUGUUCGCCUUGAUAGUCCUUGAGAACUUGAACUACCAAUCGAAUGGCGACACCAUCUUGAUCCCUUUGAAAAUUGGCAAAAUGCAAGGAGCCCUGCGACCGCUGAAUAAAACCAUGGGCCAGACCAAAAUCAUCAAACCGGCCACCAGGAACCCUGAAUAACAC
rnacentral:lncRNA from 1 species